GUUUGGGCUAACACAUGCAAAUCACCAAUGCCAGUUAUACAGAUACUCAACCCACUAAAGCUUCAUCUCCUGGGAGACAGUACUUCCCAGUUCUACUCAAAUAAGACACCCCUCAUCAGAUGCUCUGAUGGAGUCAGACUCACUCUAGAACAACAGAUUGACAAACAUCUAUGUAACCACCAAGCUUCUCUGGAGAUGAUGGGUGAUAAUUGCAGGUAUGGAAGCUGCUAGAUUGAGACAAGAGGGAGCAAGUUUCAAAGGCUUAUUCAGAAAUAAAGCACAGGUUUUAACACUGCAAGAAGCCCCAUAAUACAUUGUCAACAGAAUUAGGGAAUAAAUGUCUCUAAGGGGAAAAGCAAGAUGGCUAAUGCCAAACAUUAAAUAAUCAUGUGUAAGGCUUUCAAAAUGGUGUGGUUGACUUAAAAAAAAA